rnacentral:rRNA from 1 species
AUGGAGCCCCGGCGCGAGCUGCUGCUGCGGGAGCUCCGGGACGCGUGGGACGAGGUCGGCGAGGCGGAGGAGGACCGGUGGGAGGCGCUGCGGGCGCUCGAGGAGGACUGCCUCGCCGUCUACAGGGCCAAGGUCGCGCAGGUGAGGCAGCAAGGCGCGCGCCUGCGGGCGGAGAUCGCCGCCGCCCUCGCCGAGCUGGCCGCCCUCCGCGCCGCCGUCGGCGACGACCCGCCGAGUGCUGCCCGGACCAGCGCCGGGAGCCUCAGGGAGGAGCUGCGCGCGAUCGCGCCGGAGCUGGAGGAGGUGAGGCAGCGGCGGGACGAGAUGUGUCGGCAGUUCGCCGAGGUCACGGAGCUCAUCGACCGGCUCCGGCAGGAGAUGAGGCCCGGCGAACGGCCGCCCCCACCGUUCGUCGACGCCGACCCCGAGAACCUCACCAUGAACAGGCUCCAGGAGCUCAGAGCGCACCUGCGGCAUCUCCAAUCCGAGAAGGACAAUCGCAUCAAGAAGAUGGCAGAGCUCACGAGCUCCCUGCACGCGUCCUCCUCGGUUCUUGGCAUGGAUCCGCAAGAGAUCACCACCAGCCUCCAAGAAGCAGGUGCCGGCGCCGGCGACAUCAGCGACGGCGCGAUCGCGAGGCUGGAAUCGGAGGCGGAGAGGCUGAGGGAGGCUAAGCGUGGCAGAAUGCAGAGGCUGCAGGACCUGGUGGUGGCCAUGCUGGAGCUGUGGAGCCUGAUGGACACGCCGCCAGAGGAGCAGAGCCGGUUCCAGGGCGUGGCCUGCAACGUCGCGGCCUCGGAGGACGAGAUCACUGAGCCCGGCGCGCUCUCGGCCACCGCCAUCGGCGAGGUCGAGGCCGAGGUGGCGCGGCUGGAGGGCCUCAAGGGGCGCCGGAUGAAGGACCUGCUGGCCAGGAAGCGCGGCGAGCUCAGGGAGAUCCGGCGCCGCGCGCGCAUCAUCUCCGCGCAGGAGGAGGAGGAGGACGGCGGCGGCGACGAGGUCGUGUCCGACGACGGCUGCGCAGACGCGGCGGAGCGGUCGCUGGUGCUAGAGCGGCUGGAUGCCCGGAUCUCGGAGGCCAGGGACGAGGAGUUCAGCCGGAAGGAGGUGCUGGAGAGGAUGGAGAAGUGGCAGGUGGCCCUCGAGGAGGAAUCCUGGCUCGAGGAGUACAACAGGAACAAGAACAGAUACAACGUGGGUAAAGGAAUGCACCUCGUGCGGAAGCGCGCCGAGAAGGCGCGCGCCUUGGUCAACAAGAUGCCAGCGAUGGCGGAGGCCUUGAUGGCGAAGGUGGUGGCCUGGGAGAAGGACAGAGGCGCCAAGUUCUUGUACGAUGGUGAGGGGCUUUUGGACAUGUUGGAGGACUACGAUAACACGAGGAAGGAGAAAGAACAAGAGAAGAAGAGACAAAGGGACCAGAGGAAGCUGCAGGGGCAGAGCACGGUGGAGUCGCCGGUUGCCCGGGCACUUCAAAAGAACCUCAAGAACGUGACGAGGACAUUGUCCAUGGGAGGCAGCAAGAAGAUGAUCGUGUCAGCAUCAUCAUCAUCAUUGUCAUCGCCGAGGCCAAUCACACCGAGCUACCUCAAGUCUUCAUUCUCGCCGCGAAGGAGCGACGAUGGGCAGAUGGUGUCGCAGGAUUCUUUCGAGUGA